AUACGGAGGGUGCAAGCGUUGUCCGGAUUUAUUGGGUUUAAAGGGUACGUAGGUGGCCUAUUAAGUCAGUGGUGAAAUUUUGCAGCUUAACUGUAAAACUGCCAUUGAUACUGGUAGGCUUGAGUAUCGUUGAGGCAGGCGGAAUUUAUGGUGUAGCGGUGAAAUGCAUAGAUACCAUAAAGAACACCGAUAGCGAAGGCAGCUUGCUAAGCGAUAACUGACACUAAUGUACGAAAGCGUGGGGAGCGAACAGGAUUAGAUACCCCAGUAGUCC
rnacentral:rRNA from 1 species